UACGGGGGGGCAAGCGUUGUUCGGAAUUACUGGGCGUAAAGGGUUUGUAGGUGGCUUGCUAAGUCAGACGUGAAAUCCCUCAGCUUAACUGGGGAACUGCGUCUGAUACUGGCGAGCUUGAGUGCAGGAGAGGAACGCGGAAUUCCAGGUGUAGCGGUGAAAUGCGUAGAUAUCUGGAGGAACACCGGUGGCGAAGGCGGCGUUCUGGACUGUAACUGACACUGAGAAACGAAAGCCAGGGUAGCAACGGG
rnacentral:rRNA from 1 species